GACGAACGCUGGCGGCGUGCUUAACACAUGCAAGUCGAACGGAAAGGCCCUGCUAUUGUGGUGUGCUCGAGUGGCGAACGGGUGAGUAACACGUGAGUAACCUGCCCUUGACUUUGGGAUAACUUCAGGAAACUGGGGCUAAUACCGGAUAGCAGCCCCUGCUCCAUGGUGGGGGUUGGAAAGUUUCGGCGGUUGGGGAUGGACUCGCGGCUUAUCAGCUUGUUGGUGGGGUAGUGGCUUACCAAGGCUUUGACGGGUAGCCGGCCUGAGAGGGUGACCGGCCACAUUGGGACUGAGAUACGGCCCAGACUCGUACGGGAGGCAGCAGUGGGAAAUAUUGCACAAUGGGCGGAAGCCUGAUGCAGCAACGCCGCGUGCGGGAUGACGGCCUUCGGGUUGUAAACCGCUUUCGCCUGUGACGAAGCGUGAGUGACGGUAAUGGGUAAAGAAGCACCGGCUAACUACGUG
rnacentral:rRNA from 1 species